UAGGGAAUUUUCGUCAAUGGGGGGAACCCUGAACGAGCAAUGCCGCGUGAGUGAGGAAGGUCUUCGGAUCGUAAAGCUCUGUUGUAAGAGAAAAACGGCACUCAUAGGGAAUGAUGAGUGAGUGAUGGUAUCUUACCAGAAAGUCACGGCUAACUACGUGCCAGCAGCCGCGGUAAUACGUAGGUGGCGAGCGUUAUCCGGAAUGAUUGGGCGUAAAGGGUGCGUAGGUGGCAGAUCAAGUCUGGAGUAAAAGGUAUGGGCUCAACCCGUACUGGCUCUGGAAACUGAUCAGCUAGAGAACAGAAGAGGACGGCGGAACUCCAUGUGUAGCGGUAAAAUGCGUAGAUAUAUGGAAGAACACCGGUGGCGAAGGCGGCCGUCUGGUCUGGAUUCUGACACUGAAGCACGAAAGCGUGGGGAGCAAAUAGGAUUAGAUACCCUAGUAGUCCACGCCGUAAACGAUGAGAACUAGGUGUUGGGGGAAUAACUCAGUGCCGCAGUUAACGCAGUAAGUUCUCCGCCUGGGGAGUAUGCACGCAAGUGUGAAACUCAAAGGAAUUGACGGGGGCCCGCACAAGCGGUGGAGUAUGUGGUUUAAUUCGAAGCAACGCGAAGAACCUUACCAGGCCUUGACAUCCCUUGCAGAGGUAUAGAGAUAUAUCCGAGGUUAUCAAGGAGACAGGUGGUGCAUGGUUGUCGUCAGCUCGUGUCGUGAGAUGUUGGGUUAAGUCCCGCAACGAGCGCAACCCUUGUGAUAUGCUACUAACAUUGAGUUGAGGACUCAUAUCAGACUGCCGGUGAUAAACCGGAGGAAGGUGGGGAUGACGUCAAAUCAUCAUGCCCCUUAUGGCCUGGGCUACACACGUACUACAAUGGCGUCUACAAAGAGCGGCAAGCCUGUGAAGGCAAGCGAAUCUCAUAAAGGACGUCUCAGUUCGGAUUGAAGUCUGCAACCCGACUUCAUGAAGCUGGAAUCGCUAGUAAUCGCGAAUCAGCAUGUCGCGGUGAAUACGUUCUC
rnacentral:rRNA from 1 species